GCAGUAUUAACAUUCAGAACUCCCAUGCUGCACUGUUUUCCCACAUGCUACAUAAAAAUGCUGUACAGUUUCUCUCUCCAAGGCUCCUCUAUUAGGGUAUUAAAUAACUCUGUGCUUCCAGUUUGGUUAAUGCCUUCAUUUUUAUAGAAUACAGUUUUGCGCACUCAUUCAAAUUACUAUUUAUUGCAAAAUAAGUAUGGUAAAAUAAUAAUUUUACCCAAUGUUGCCUUAAUAUUAAUUUUCAAACUGUGAAAGUCGAUGGAAAAUAAAUCUGGGAGAGGAUUGGUGAAAUGAAAGAUGCAGAAUCACAGAAUAAAUGAGUUCCUAGAGAAUAACUUGUGCUUAUAUGUAUUCUUAACGAGUUAUAAGAAAAUACAAUGGAAAAAAAUUCUGCAAUUACAAAGGAAGCAGCAGGGAUUUAUAUAUACUGGUAUAGUGAGGAGUGGGGAAAACGCUCAAGAAUCUGGGUCAUCGCUUAUAUUGUCUCCUAUCACAACACUGAUUGUUGUUAACUCAGUUUCAGAAGGGCAGCUUUUCCACGGUUUUGGUGUUUUUGAGGAAGGUGUAACGCCUUCAGAAUGUACCAGUGAGAUUUUGAAGAGUCUGUGUGAUGAGUGGGCAACACAGUGCCCCAUUGUUUUCAGCUCCUCCAAACUCUGUAAGUAUCCAAGGAUAAGCAGAUUUUUGUUUUGUUUUGUUUUUUUUUCCUCUUAG
rnacentral:lncRNA from 1 species